rnacentral:lncRNA from 1 species
UAGGCCCCGCCUGCUCUAUUUAAACUUCUGGACUCAACCUGGCCGCUAGACCGGAGCGUCCUCCAGCGCAGGCAAGGAUUCCUCGUUUAGAGUCAUGUUAUCUUCGAGUACCUAGAGAGACAUUUUAACCCACACCCUAGAGAGGCGUUGUAAUCCUUACGUGUCUUUUAACGCUACUUGGCCCUUACCUGCGAGCAACUGACCUUUAAUAAUCCUCAUUUUCUGUGCCCCGGAAGUGCCUUACCCUCUUCGCGUCUGUUUCCCGGAAGUGGUUCUUCUCCCUCUCCACCCUUUCGCCCGCCUGGGCGGUCCAGCUGCCCCUAGGGGCCAACUCCAGCGGCUAUUUUGGGGCUGGACAUCCCGCAGCUUUUCAAGGCGUGCCUUUGGUUUUUUUAAGAAGUGCUAUCUAAAGGAAAAGCUGGACUAUGACUCUGGGGAACUUUCAUAUCCUCAGUUGACCUUAGGCUGUGUGACCUUGAGCAGGUAGCAUAACCUCUCUGAGUUUCCCGCGUGCCUUAUGUGCAGAUUGAGAUGCUAAAAUGAGAGAGCUAAAUUGGAAAGCUUUUUCCACAUAGGGGGCCGUGAGCAGGUGGCUGUUUUGUCCUCUGGCACCUUUGGCUCAGACUUAAGCAGCUUCAACGACCGCCAAGAUGCCUGCCAUGCCCACCAAGAUUUAAAGGACUCUGAUAAUUCUUUCUCUCCCCAAACGGUGUUUUCCUUAUCUAAUCCUAAUAACCAAGCCUGGAGGAAUCCCUGACUUCGUGAUUGAAGGCUCUCCAGGUCCCCUAGUUUAAGGGCAGAGAUUUACUUUCUCUGAGGCUACAAAGGAGCGUCUGCGAGAAUGUCUCUACCUUAGACAAAACAGGGAGGAGGGGUGGAGCUCUCCAAAUUGCCUCUGGUUUGGGCUUUUUCUUUCUGUUUUGGUGUAUCGUCUCUGGCCAACAACACCUGUGAGUCCUUGAUGUGACGAUUAGGGAAGAUGUUUUUAAUUCACAUAACUAUUCUUUAGAGAAAAUUGAUCCUGAAACACCUUAUUGCCUUAUCGUAGAAUGACUGCAUUACUCAGAAUUCUUUACCUCUACCGGAAUUUAGUGAAGGGAAGGCACAACGUACAUUAGGAAAAUACAGGACACACUCCAGUCCUUAAACCUUCCACAAUCUUCUAGCUCUUUAAGGUCGAGUGUGAUCCUCCCCAGAACUGCAUCUUCCAGGAAGCUCAUGAGAAAGGAAGGAUCCCAGGUCCCAUCUCUGAUCUGAGUCGGCAUCUGCGUUUUAACAGAAUCCUGAAGCAGUGGUCUAACUCCUUUGGUGGUGUUAUUGUUUGCAUGUAUACCUCCAAAAUUCACAUAUUGAAAUACUAACCCCCAAGGUGAUAGUAUUAGGAGGUGGGGCCUUUGGGAGGUAAUUAAGUCAUGAGGGUGAAGCCCUCAUGAAUGGGAUUAGUACUCUUAGAAAAGGGACCCCAGAGAGGUCUCUUUCCACCAUGUAAGGAUAAAAGUACACGGAGAAGAUGGCAAUCUGCAAACUGGAAAAGGGCCCUCCUCAGAACCUGACCAUCUUGGCACCUUGAUCUCAGACUUCCAUCUUCCAGAACUGUGAGAAAUAAAUUUCUUUUAUAAACACUCAGUCAAUGCUACUUUAUUAUAGCAGCCUGAAUGGAUUAAGACAGGUGGUCUGGUUUAAAGUGAUGUGGUGGCAUCAGAAGUUUAAGGAGAGACUGGAUUUACAGAACCAGAAUCUGGGAUGCUGUUUACAGAGCAAGUUAUUUCCUGCAUUUGGACACUGUCAGCAGGUCGAUUCAGGAGACAGGUGAAAACUUUAUCACCGGGCAGCCUGGAUGAACACCACAACUUUGAUAUCUUUCACUUAAAGGAAAGAUAAGGGCAUCCACUAUUUCUACACCUGGCUGGCAGAGUGAGAGCUCACCAAAGGUGGCCACCCUGGUUGCUGUGGGACACCUGUCUCCUCCUGCCGUCCAAAAGAGCAAGAAGCACUAAACUCUGUCUUCGGUCAGCAUGACUCUCAGCCCAUGUAAGCUCACCUUGGCUGUACCCCGAGGAGGGAGAUCAAAGUAUAUGUUCCUACUGUCAGCUUUACUCACAUCCACAUCUUCUCCCUGCAUGUCCUUGGGUUGGAAGGAACAGCUUAUUUUUUGUCCUACAUCAGUGGUUCUUAAACUUUACUGUACCAAGAAAGCUUUUAAAAAAUGCUGAUGAUUGGGGCCUGCAGAUUCUCAGUCACUGAUCUGGAUAUGUCCUGCAUGUAAGAGUGUUUUGCAAAUCGUUUCUAAUGUGCAACCAGGAUUACAAAACGUUAUCUUGUAUCCUGAGUUCUCUCUACUCUUGGCAUAAAAUUAAAAU